rnacentral:lncRNA from 9 species
AAUCGCUGUUCCCUGGGGAUGGGGGUCGAAAACAAGAACAGCCUGUCCGUGGGCAGCUUGUGGCAGGACUGGGUACCCAGAAUGUCUCCAGAAAUUCACCUCCUCCCACCGCAGUCUGUUUCACUUGCUCAUAGUUUACCGCACACAGAGGCCCUGCGCCCAGCACAUACGACCACCGUUCCUAGUGAGAAAUGGCUGCACCUGACAUUUCAACUUGGCUGGCCAUGUGCAGUGAGCUGUACCCAGCUGACCCAUGAGAACUGCCCUACUCCUUGCUGACAGGAACUCUAUAAAGGGCCUUUUAGGGAGAGUGUAUACUCUAGAGCAUGCGCGUACACCUUUCCAUUCUUUGAUUGAAAAAAUAAAGCUUUUGGAGUUCCUGCUGUGAUGCAGCAGGUUAGGAAUUCAGCAUUGUCUCUGUGGCAUAGCUUGCAGCUGCAGCUCAGAUUCAGUCCCUGGCCCAGGAACUUCUAUAUGCCAUGAGUGUGGCAGAAAAAGAAAACAAAAACAAACAAACAAAAAGAAUAAAGCUUUGGAGUUCCCAUCGUGGCUCAGUGGUUAACGAAUCCGACUAGGAACGAUGAGGUUGCUGGUUCGAUCCCUGGCCUUGCUCAGAGGGUUAAGGAUCCGGCGUUGCCGUGAGCUGUGGUGUAGGUCGCAGACGCAGCUCAGACCUGGUGUUGCUGUGGCUGAGGCGUAGCCUGUGGCUACAGCUCUGAUUCAACCCCUAGCCUGGAAACCUCCAUAUGCCGCAGGUGCUGCCCUAAAAAGACAAAAAAAAAAAAAAAAAAAAAAAAAUCAAGAAUAAAGCUUUAAUUUGCCUCUGAACCAAACUUGGUCUUGGAACUUAAUCUCACACUAUUGGUCCUUCAACACUGGGGCUGAAGGACCUUGUUGGGGAGCAACUAGGGAGGGUCAGUAACAAAAUUCUAGCAACCCAGAUGGGGUGCACUGUGCCCUUUUCACCACCACCUAACCACAGGCUCUGGAUGUGCCCCAGUUCCAGAGAGAGAAUGGUGGAGGCUUUGGGAGGUUCACCUGAGAAUGAUUGACUCUGAUCUUUGAAUUCACUCUGAUGGGGUAGAACUGCAGCAGCCUUUGGCCAAAUUCAGAGCAACUCUGCCCAGCAACCUGAUACAGGAUGUGGUGCACACACAGCAUAGCCCUGAG